CAAAGAAAAGUUCAACUUAUGCGUGAGUAAAACGAGUAGGCAGUUUUAAUCACAUCAUCAUUUUUAUUUUUAAAAUUAGCACAGCCGAAAGUAGCUACAAACACUUGUUGUAAAAAUAAAUAUGCACAUUAGUAUUUAGUAUUUAAAAUAAUAUCCACUCCACUGAAUCAGUAAAGAAAUGCAACAAAUUUGAGAAGUUUUUCUUGGUACUCGUGACAAUUUGUACUUUGGGAAUAUACAACUAAAAUCUUGUCCAACACUGACAGCUGUUUAUCACUUAGUGAGUUCUUUCCAAGUUUUUUUUUUCUCCUCCCACCCUCAGACCCGUCUCUGUCUUGCUUUGUUGGUUUAAAUUAUGCACGUCUCUCCGGAAUGCCAGUCACGAGUCCAAACUUUGCGUCCAACCUCCCACAUGAAAUGAUCCCCCCUUAAAGGGGGCUCAAUAUGUCUCAAUCUGCACUUCACUUCAGUCAAACCAUUUGGGUAUAUAAGGACAGGCUCCAGAAAAGCAUUAAUUAGAGAACGACGCCUCGGACGUGGACAACACUCUUCCCAGCGAGCACUACCAGAAAGUGGACAAGAAGGACACACGAAGCGUUACUCGGAGCUCCUUUGGAGAAAGAGUUAUCAAUGGCGAGGGCUUGCUUUCGGUUACCCUGAACCGGCGAUGAACUCGUGAGCAGUGAAAGCCUCUCACACUAAUCCUGGCUAUGGGGUCAGUAACAGUGUGUCUCCAAGCAGAUAUGCAAAUGAUCCAGGUCCCUUCAGCGACCCUGUGGGUGCUCCGCCCUCUCCGGUGACAUCACCUCGUACACUGGCUUAACAGCACGCUUCGCUAAUAGGCUUUUAUUACACCACCGUGCUAUCUCUAAAUGAUCUCUAAAGUUGUAUCAAAUGGUCACGGGGAAACCUGGAGCCUAUCCUAGGGAGCAUCGGGCACAAGGCGGGGUACACCCUGGACAGGGUGCCAGUCCAUCACAAGGCAACUACCAAAAAUAUCACACAAACAAAUGAAAUUCUAGACUGAAGGUCUAUCAACUGACAACUCCAAGACAGACUGUAAUUAGUCUCCAUCUGUAGGAUGCCACUCAAACCUGUCUCGUAAUAGUUUAAACAUGAAUUUCAUUUCAUUUUCAAAACUGUUGGCGCUCAUUAGGAGGUAUUCUGACAUGCCGUAAUUACACCGUUGUUGCAGUGGCAUUUUGAUUCCAAUAAUAAUAAUAAUGUAAAUUACAUAACAUAAUAAUAAUUUAAUAAAAAUGAACAAAGAUUGCAUUGCGUCCUGAGUGUUUUAUUAUGUCUUGCUUCAUUCAUUUAACACUAUAACUAACUAAUCCAUAGAAAUCUUGAACCAUAAAUGCUUAUUUGUCCUCACAUGAAAUAAAAAGUCUACAACACUGGUACAUGAGCUAUGAAAAGCGAACAGUGUCGAGACAUUACUCCAUAAGGAGCUGAGCUGGAUCAAACACAUCCAGUAACAAAAUCCAUAAGGGGACAUUAGAAGAAAGACACCACAGCAUAGUUGCUGUCAGUGUCCCUGUUAGUAUCCGAGUUGGGUUUCCAAAACCAGCGCUCUGUGAUGCCCUGGCAAUUUGAGGUUUUCUCCAUUGCAUUCCUUGGACGUGGAAAGGGGGAUCCGAGUUCAUUCGUCCUGAGGACUAAUGAGGUGAGAACAGGUGCCAAUGGAAAUGAAGAACAUUACGUUAUGAAUCAUAAGACGACAAAUCAAAUAUACAUUUAUUCCAUUAAACACGGGGAAAAAAAACCCUCCUAUGCUGCUCCUCUCUU